AUUGAACGCUGGCGGCAGGCCUAACACAUGCAAGUCGAGCGGAUGAAGGGAGCUUGCUCCUGGAUUCAGCGGCGGACGGGUGAGUAAUGCCUAGGAAUCUGCCUGGUAGUGGGGGAUAACGUCCGGAAACGGGCGCUAAUACCGCAUACGUCCUGAGGGAGAAAGUGGGGGAUCUUCGGACCUCACGCUAUCAGAUGAGCCUAGGUCGGAUUAGCUAGUUGGUGGGGUAAAGGCCUACCAAGGCGACGAUCCGUAACUGGUCUGAGAGGAUGAUCAGUCACACUGGAACUGAGACACGGUCCAGACUCCUACGGGAGGCAGCAGUGGGGAAUAUUGGACAAUGGGCGAAAGGCUGAUCCAGCCAUGCCGCGUGUGUGAAGAAGGUCUUCGGAUUGUAAAGCACUUUAAGUUGGGAGGAAGGGCAGUAAGUUAAUACCUUGCUGUUUUGACGUUACCAACAGAAUAAGCACCGGCUAACUUCGUG
rnacentral:rRNA from 1 species